AUUGAACGCUGGCGGCAGGCCUAACACAUGCAAGUCGAACGAGUGGCGGACGGGUGAGUAAUGUCUGGUAAACUGUCUGAUGGAGGGGGAUAACUACUGGAAACGGUAGCUAAUACCGCAUACUGUCAGAUCUGCCCAGAUGGGAUUGGCUUGUUGGUGGGGUAACGGCUCACCCAGUCGUCCAUACCUAGCUGGUCUGAGAGGAUGACCAGCCACACUGGAACUGAGACACGGUCCAGACUCCUACGGGAGGCAGCAGUGGGGAAUAUUGGACAAUGGGCGCAAGCCUGAUGCAGCCAUGCCGCGUGUAUGAAGAAGGCCUUCGGGUUGUAAAGUACUUUCAGCGGGGAGGCGUUACCCGCAGAAGAAGCACCGGCUAACUCCGUGCCAGCAGCCGCGGUAAUUC
rnacentral:rRNA from 1 species